rnacentral:rRNA from 1 species
UACGAAGGGGGCUAGCGUUGCUCGGAAUCACUGGGCGUAAAGGGUGCGUAGGCGGGUCUUUAAGUCGAGGGGAUGAAAUCCUGGAGCUCAACUCCAGAACUGCCUUUGAUACUGAAGAUCUUGAGUUCGGGAGAGGUGAGUGGAACUGCGAGUGUAGAGGUGAAAUUCGUAGAUAUUCGGAAGAACACCAGUGGCGAAGGCGGCUCACUGGCCCGGUACUGACGCUGAGGUGCGAAAGCGUGGGGAGCAAACAGG